rnacentral:rRNA from 1 species
AUGAGUUAAGUAUAAACCCCUUUACAAGUAUCAAUUGGAGGGCAAGUCUGGUGCCAGCAGCCGCGGUAAUUCCAGCUCCAAUAGCGUAUAUUAAAGUUGUUGCAGUUAAAAAGCUCGUAGUUGGAUUUCUGUUAAUAAUUUAUAUAUAAUAUUUAACAUAUUUAUAUAUAAUAUUAACAUAAUUCAUAUUACUAUAUUUAUGUGUAGUAUAUGAAAUUUUACUUUGAGAAAAUUAGAGUGCUUAAAGCAGGCUUUUAUGCCUUGAAUACUAGAGCAUGGAAUAAUAUUAAAGAUUUUUAUCUUUCUUUAUUGGUUCUAAGAUAGAAAUAAUGAUUAAUAGGGACAGUUGGGGGCAUUUGUAUUUAACAGUUAGAGGUGAAAUUCUUAGAUUUGUUAAAGACAAACUAAUGCGAAAGCAUUUGCCAAGGAUGUUUUCAUUAAUCAAGAACGAAAGUUAGGGGAUCGAAGACGAUCAGAUACCGUCGUAGU